rnacentral:piRNA from 1 species
UGGGUAGAAACUUCCAGAAGUGGUAAUGC